rnacentral:tRNA from 1 species
GCCGAGGUAGCUCAGUUGGUAGAGCAUGCGACUGAAAAUCGCAGUGUCCCCAGUUCGAUUCUGGGCCUCGGCACCA